GGAGCAAUGAGAAAGGACUGAUUCAUGUCAAGGAGAGGGCAUUUUUGAAGGAGCAAUGUACGUAAGCAAUGGCAAAGAGUUCUCCUUUCUUCUAUGUUGACUUUAUCUGCAGGAAAGAAGAGGACAAAAGGACUUAGAAAAGCUGAGGAU